CGCAGCGGCUCGCAGGGCCGCCGCGGGACGACGGGCCCGGGACGCCGGCUCCGAGCACAGGCCGUCCUCCUCGAGGGCAGGGCGCGCCGCACGCGGUCCGUAAUGUGCAACCACUGAAGACCUCGUGAAGAAAGCAGUAUGCUGGAAAGACACAUAAAAUCCACCAUCGAGACUUCAGCACUAAAGCUCCCAUUGUAUUGUUCCAGUACAGAGCAGCAGGGUCAUUGACUCUGGGGAAUGCUGGCUGCCAUGUCAUGGAGAACUUGAGCAGCCCUAUGGGGGACAUCCAUGUGGUGAAGAACUGAGGUGCCUCACCCACAGCUGGUACUGACUUGCCACUCAUGAGAACGCACCGUUUUGGAAGCAGAUCCUCCAGCACCAGUCAAGCCUUCAGAUGACUGUAAUGCCAGCUGUCAUCUGACCUCAUGAGAGACUCUAAGCCAGAACCACCCUUCUAAGCCAUGUCAGAACUCCUGACCCAAAGUAACUCUGUGAGAUAAUAAAUGUUAAUUGUUGUUUUAA